rnacentral:ncRNA from 1 species
UCUUAUCAAGAGAAGCAGAGGGAUUUGGCCCGUUGACGCUUCAGCAACCUCUGCAUUUGCAGGAAGGUGCUACCUCCAACAAGAUGAAAGUCUUGAGAGAUAAGA